AUCCGGGUUGCGGACAGUGUCUGGUGGGUAGUUUGACUGGGGCGGUCUCCUCCUAAAGAGUAACGGAGGAGCACGAAGGUUGGCUAAUCCUGGUCGGACAUCAGGAGGUUAGUGCAAUGGCAUAAGCCAGCUUGACUGCGAGCGUGACGGCGCGAGCAGGUGCGAAAGCAGGUCAUAGUGAUCCGGUGGUUCUGAAUGGAAGGGCCAUCGCUCAACGGAUAAAAGGUACUCCGGGGAUAACAGGCUGAUACCGCCCAAGAGUUCAUAUCGACGGCGGUGUUUGGCACCUCGAUGUCGGCUCAUCACAUCCUGGGGCUGAAGUAGGUCCCAAGGGUAUGGCUGUUCGCCAUUUAAAGUGGUACGCGAGCUGGGUUUAGAACGUCGUGAGACAGUUCGGUCCCUAUCUGCCGUGGGCGCUGGAGAACUGAGGGGGGCUGCUCCUAGUACGAGAGGACCGGAGUGGACGCAUCACUGG
rnacentral:rRNA from 1 species